UACAGAGGGUGCAAGCGUUGUUCGGAAUUACUGGGCGUAAAGCGUGCGUAGACGGUUGCGUAAGUCAGAUGUGAAAGCCCCGGGCUCAACCUGGGAAUUGCAUUUGAGACUGCGUAGCUAGGGUGCGGAAGAGGGAAGCGGAAUUUCCGGUGUAGCGGUGAAAUGCGUAGAUAUCGGAAGGAACACCAGUGGCGAAAGCGGCUUCCUGGUCCAGCACCGACGUUCAGGCGCGAAAGCGUGGGGAGCAAACAGG
rnacentral:rRNA from 1 species